UCCGAUCUGUUUCCCAGUCACGAUAACGGUCCUAAGGUAGCGAAAUUCCUUGUCGGGUAAGUUCCGACCUGCACGAAUGGCGUAACGAUGGCCACACUGUCUCCUCCUGAGACUCAGCGAAGUUGAAAUGUUUGUGAAGAUGCAAUCUCCCCGCGGCUAGACGGAAAGACCCCAUGAACCUUUACUGUAGCUUUGCAUUGGACUUUGACGGGACUUGUGUAGGAUAGGUGGGAGGCUUUGAAGCCGGGACGCUAGUUCCGGUGGAGCCAUCCUUGAAAUACCACCCUGGUGUCGUCGAGGUUCUAACCCAGGCCUGUGAAUCCAGGUCGGGGACCGUGCAUGGUGGGCAGUUUGACUGGGGCGGUCUCCUCCCAAAAGGUAACGGAGGAGUACGAAGGUCACCUAGGUACGGUCGGACAUCGUACUGAUAGUGCAAUGGCAAAAGGUGGCUUGACUGCGAGACCCACACGUCGAGCAGGUGCGAAAGCAGGUCAUAGUGAUCCGGUGGUUCUGUAUGGAAGGGCCAUCGCUCAACGGAUAAAAGGUACUCUGGGGAUAACAGGCUGAUUCCGCCCAAGAGUUCACAUCGACGGCGGAGUUUGGCACCUCGAUGUCGGCUCAUCACAUCCUGGGGCUGUAGCCGGUCCCAAGGGUAUGGCUGUUCGCCAUUUAAAGUGGUACGUGAGCUGGGUUUAAAACGUCGUGAGACAGUUUGGUCCCUAUCUGCCGUGGGCGCUGGAAGUUUGAGAGGGCCUGCUCCUAGUACGAGAGGACCGGAGUGGACGCACCCCUGGUGUACCGGUUGUGACGCCAGUCGCAUCGCCGGGUAGCUAUGUGCGGAAGAGAUAACCGCUGAAAGCAUCUAAGCGGGAAACUCGCCUCAAGAUGAGACUUCCCCGGGGCCUCGAGCCCCCUGAAGGGUCGUUGAAGACCACAACGUUGAUAGGCCGGGUGUGUAAGCGUGGCAACACGUUCAGCUAACCGGUACUAAUUGCCCGUGUGGCUUGAUCCU
rnacentral:rRNA from 1 species